GGCAGCCACAAUUAUUCCACAACACUGCAACUGACAGCAUUUACCUGGCAUGAAAAGAAACAAAGGUAACCAUUUGGAAAAAAAAAAAAAAAAAGAUCUCUGAUAUCUGUACAUUUAUUGUUUUCAUGUAUAUAAUCUGAGCUUUUGAUUCCUCUGGUACAAAAAGUGCUUUGAGAAAGAAUCUAUUCCCCUCAGUUCACAAGAUUAAAAAAUAUCAAAGGUGGACAAGUCUCAAGGUACGAGUACAUAUGUAAACUCAGAAAGGCCUCAUUUUUAAAUCGAAGGAGUCUGAGCUUGGAAGCUUCACUGCUGUGAACUCAAGCACUAGUAGAAAACCAAUAAGAUGUAUACAGAGGUGGUUACUACAUAAUGUCCUAUGCUAGACUUCACAGGACAAGUAUUUGCACAUAAGAGAAAUGAAAACAAUUUAGGACCAAUGGCAUCUUGAAAUAAUUUGACUGACAACCUUCCAGAAUCCAUUCUACCUGUAAAAGCUAAGCCCAAAAGAAAUACCCCUUUGGGCACUUUUAACCAGUUUAAACAGUUAAACAGCAAUCUAACAAUCCUGAGUAAAAUUGGCCACGCUAAGUGCCCCACGAAUCCAAAGCUACUUUAAACGGAGUCAUCAGUCACUCUGUUAGCAGAUGUUGCAAGAGUGUAACACCACAACUACAAAAGAUUCUCAAUGCUUCUUCCCAAAUUUGGAUCCACUAGUCGCUAGAUCACAAAUCUGGCAAAGACCUAUAGUUAGCUUAUUAGAAGCGCUGCCUCCAAUUCUGGGAAAGUGGUUCCUAACCUUUGGCACAUGUACCAGUAUUAUUACUUCGGGGAUGUGUAGUCAGUACCAGAGGCUGCUGCACCCCUUACUCUCUACUGAGCCCCCAGCCGGUGCUCUCAUUGCUUGAGAGGUUAGUGGCACUUGCUAGUACAAAUGAGGUCUUAGUUUGGAAAACUGGUACACUGCCACAGAAGGCUGGGAACCAUCGUUUUAGAGAGAUAUAUGAAUAUGAGGCCAACUCAUCUGCAAAAACAGAACCGUCAGCCUUUGCCCAUGUCCCUUGCUGGGCUUGAUAUGGACAGUUCCUGUGAAGAUGAGGGGGAUCAGGUAUGUCACUCAAGGUUUCCCCAAAAGCACAUAAAACUUGAGAAACUUUUCUUUAAAGGAGAGCAGGUACAAAAAUAAAAGAAAUCCAUAUACUCUGAAAAUACACUGGAAACUGCCACCACAGAUGAGGUACCAUUUGCUCCCUCCCCACCCCCCGCCCCCAACUGCAAACAUCAAAAUAUAUAUGUCUUUAAACAAAGGAAGAAUAUCUGGCUAUUUAAUCUCAGUUAAAAUGACAGCACCCUUUUGUUACACUUUAUACUUCACACCAUUAAUUCUCUUCUGAAAAAUGUGAUACCACAUCUAACUAAGCCUUGAUUCCUGCUCAUCUCCUCAUUUCCCUAGUGCAGUAAUUGUCCGCCUCCGUUUAAAUAAAUAUAGCAGCUACAGUAUCAUACGUGUGUGGCCCUCACAAAGCCAGUAACUUGAUAUUGUAAUACAAACAUGUAUCGGCACUUUAUGUAGACAUCUGCAAAA